AUUGAACGCUGGCGGCAGGCCUAACACAUGCAAGUCGAGCGAGCGGCGGACGGGUGAGUAAUGUCUGGGAAACUGCCUGAUGGAGGGGGAUAACUACUGGAAACGGUAGCUAAUACCGCAUACCCUCAGAUGUGCCCAGAUGGGAUUAGCUAGUAGGUGGGGUAAUGGCUCACCUAGGCGACGAUGCCUAGCUGGUCUGAGAGGAUGACCAGCGACACUGGAACUGAGACGUGGGCCAGACUCCUACGGGAGGCAGCAGUGGGGAAUAUUGCACAAGGGGCGCAAGCCUGAUGCAGCCAUGCCGCGUGUGUGACGAAGGCCUUCGGGUUGUAAAGCACUUUAAGCGGGGAGGCGUUACCCGCAGAAGAAGCACCGGCUAACUCCGUGCCAGCAGCCGCGGUAAUUC
rnacentral:rRNA from 1 species